UACGGGGGGAGCAAGCGUUGUUCGGAUUUACUGGGCGUAAAGGGCGCGUAGGCGGCCUGUGCAAGUCAGUUGUGAAAUCUCCGGGCUUAACUCGGCAAGGUCAACUGAUACUGCUCGGCUAGAGUGCGGAAGGGGCAACUGGAAUUCUUGGUGUAGCGGUGAAAUGCGUAGAUAUCAAGAGGAACACCUGCGGCGAAGGCGGGUUGCUGGGCCGACACUGACGCUGAAGUGCGAAAGCGUGGGGAGCAAACAGG
rnacentral:rRNA from 1 species